rnacentral:rRNA from 1 species
UACGUAGGGCGCAAGCGUUGUCCGGAUUCACUGGGUGUAAAGGGUGCGCAGGCGGGACGACAAGUCAGGGGUGAAAUCUUACGGCUCAACCGUGAAACUGCCUUUGAUACUGUUGUUCUUGAGUUAGGGAGAGGUUGAUGGAAUUCCAGGUGUAGCGGUGAAAUGCGUAGAUAUCUGGAAGAACACCGGUGGCGAAGGCGGUCAACUGGCCCUCAACUGACGCUGAGGCACGAAAGCGUGGGGAUCAAACAGG